ACUCCUACGGGAGGCAGCAGUGGGGAAUAUUGGACAAUGGGGGGAACCCUGAUCCAGCCAUGCCGCGUGUGUGAAGAAGGCCUUAUGGUUGUAAAGCACUUUAAGCGAGGAGGAGGCUACUGAGACUAAUACUCUUGGAUAGUGGACGUUACUCGCAGAAUAAGCACCGGCUAACUCUGUGCCAGCAGCCGCGGUAAUACAGAGGGUGCGAGCGUUAAUCGGAUUUACUGGGCGUAAAGCGUGCGUAGGCGGCUUUUUAAGUCGGAUGUGAAAUCCCCGAGCUUAACUUGGGAAUUGCAUUCGAUACUGGGAAGCUAGAGUAUGGGAGAGGAUGGUAGAAUUCCAGGUGUAGCGGUGAAAUGCGUAAAGAUCUGGAGGAAUACCGAUGGCGAAGGCAGCCAUCUGGCCUAAUACUGACGCUGAGGUACGAAAGCAUGGGGAGCAAACAGGAUUAGAUACCCUGGUAGUCCAUGCCGUAAACGAUGUCUACUAGCCGUUGGGGCCUUUGAGGCUUUAGUGGCGCAGCUAACGCGAUAAGUAGACCGCCUGGGGAGUACGGUCGCAAGACUAAAACUCAAAUGAAUUGACGGGGGCCCCCACAAGCGGUGGAGCAUGUGG
rnacentral:rRNA from 1 species